rnacentral:misc_RNA from 1 species
UCAAUCAUCAUCCCGACGGGUUCUGCCCGGCGGGGUUGGAGUUGGGCGCUGCCAUCCGUGGCUCGCCUCAAAUGCAUCGGUGGCACACCUUUGCCCGCACUGGCGUAAUACGUUUCGUCACGACCGGGACAGGGGGGCCUCCUUGAAACCGCCUGCCUUGGCAGGAAGCAC